rnacentral:rRNA from 1 species
GACGAACGCUGGCGGCGUGCCUAAUACAUGCAAGUAGAACGCACAGUUUAUACCGUAGCUUGCUACACCAUAGACUGUGAGUUGCGAACGGGUGAGUAACGCGUAGGUAACCUGCCUGGUAGCGGGGGAUAACUAUUGGAAACGAUAGCUAAUACCGCAUAAUAUUAAUUAUUGCAUGAUAAUUAAUUGAAAGGUGCAAUUGCACCACUACCAGAUGGACCUGCGUUGUAUUAGAUAGUAGGUGAGGUAACGGCUCACCUAGGCGACGAAACAUAGCCGACCUGAGUGGGUGGUCGCCCACACUGGGAGUGGAACCCGGCCCAGACUCCUACGGGAGGGAGCAGGAGGGAAUUUUCGGCAAGAGAAGAAAGUCUUACCGAGGAAGCGCGGGGGGGUAAAAGAGGUUUUCGGUUCGUAAAGCCCUGUUUUAGGAAAAAAACGGGUGGGAGGGGGGAAGGUACCCACGGUGGGGGAAUCUUACCAAAAAGGGGCGGGAACCUACUU